rnacentral:rRNA from 1 species
AGUGAACGCUGGCGGUAGGCCUAACACAUGCAAGUCGAACGGCAUCACAGUAAUUGCUUGCUCUUACGGGUGGCGAGUGGCGGACGGGUGCGGAUUACAUCGGAAUCUACUUUUUCGUUGGGGAUAACGUAGGGAAACUUACGCUAAUACCGCAUACGACCUCCGGGUGAUAGCAGGGGAUCUUCGGACCUUGCGCGAUUGUAUUAGCCGAUGUCGGCUUAGCUAGUUGGCGGGGUAAAGGACUACGAAGGCGACGCUCCGUAGGUGGUCUGAGAGGAUGGUCAGACAAACUGGAAGAGAGAAACGGCACAGACACCGACGGGAGGACGCAGUGGGGAAUAUUGGACAAUGGGGGAAAGGCUGAUCCAGCAAAACCGGGUGGGGGAAGAAGGAGUUAGGGUUGGAAAGCCAUGUUGGUGGGAAAGAAAAGAAGAAGGUUAAGAGCGGGAGGUAAUGACGGUACCCAAAGAAGAAGCACCGGCUAACUUCGUG